UGGGGAAUAUUGCACAAUGGGCGCAAGCCUGAUGCAGCCAUGCCGCGUGUGUGAAGAAGGCCUUCGGGUUGUAAAGCACUUUCAGCGAGGAGGAAGGGUAGUGUGUUAAUAGCACAUUGCAUUGACGUUACUCGCAGAAGAAGCACCGGCUAACUCCGUGCCAGCAGCCGCGGUAAUACGGAGGGUGCAAGCGUUAAUCGGAAUUACUGGGCGUAAAGCGCACGCAGGCGGUUUGUUAAGUCAGAUGUGAAAUCCCCGCGCUUAACGUGGGAACUGCAUUUGAAACUGGCAAGCUAGAGUCUUGUAGAGGGGGGUAGAAUUCCAGGUGUAGCGGUGAAAUGCGUAGAGAUAUGGAGGAAUACCGGUGGCGAAGGCGGCCCCCUGGACAAAGACUGACGCUCAGGUGCGAAAGCGUGGGGAGCAAACA
rnacentral:rRNA from 1 species